rnacentral:rRNA from 1 species
AUACGUGCCAGCAGCCGCGGUAAUACGUAUGGUGCAAGCGUUAUCCGGAUUUACUGGGUGUAAAGGGAGCGUAGACGGAUGGGCAAGUCUGAAGUGAAAGCCCGGGGCUCAACCCCGGGACUGCUUUGGAAACUGUUCAUCUGGAGUGCUGGAGAGGUAAGUGGAAUUCCUAGUGUAGCGGUGAAAUGCGUAGAUAUUAGGAGGAACACCAGUGGCGAAGGCGGCUUACUGGACAGUAACUGACGUUGAGGCUCGAAAGCGUGGGGAGCA